GGAGAAGCUGGUUUCUAUUUGUCACCACGCAUAUGCCCAGGAACUCUGGUGAAGACAUUAAAGAGUUUAUUUUUCAGGAAAAUAUUCUCCCUAAAGAAAGCUUACUGCAAGAGCCAGAGGUGGCAGGAAAGAAGGAAAAAGGGACAGGUUUUGCCAGAUUACAGAAGAAUUCCUUUUUGGAUAAAGAAUAGAAUGCCGACUUUGAUGCUAGUUGGACUUGUCCACCAGACAGUCAAUAUAAAACAAGGAAACACUGUCAUUUAAACAGUUCCAGUAGGAGCUCCGGACAGAGAAACACUGCAUUUUAAGGGGGAAACUGUACACCCAUGCCAUGGUAUUUGAGAAUCUAGGGACUCAUGGUGCUCUCCGGAUCUUUCCAUCAUGGGUAUCAAAGGUUUACUGUCAUCACCUAGAGGCAGAAGGCUAUAUGCCGGUCCAGGACUUUGGCACUGGAGAGACCUGAGUUCAAAUCCCAGCUCCACUAGUGUAUAGGUUGAAGAGAGACCCUGCAAACAAGCCCAAGGAAUGUUAAGAGUGAUAAUAGCUAAGAUCUACUGACCACUUAAUAUUGUGCCGAGUACUCUGUUUGAUGAAUGAACAGCCAUACAGAAAUGUGAUUGGACACAAAGGAUCUGGCCUAACGGUGAAGGACGGAGUGGGGAAACCCAGCAAAAC